rnacentral:lncRNA from 1 species
UUGUCACGCCCCGAAACCGAUACCAAUUUGGUCCAGUUCGGGCGCGUCAAACAGACGCCGAACGGACAGCACCUCCCCUGUCCGCCCAAGGCCAACAGCGAGAUCAUGUACAACAAGUUCCCAGGAAAUCACUUGAAUACAUACAUGAUCACUCAACAACUACGAGGGGAGCACAAUCAGUGCUAAACAACUAAGAGCAACAUACAAGUAUAAGAUAUACAAGUAAUGAUAAAGAGAUGAGCAUCUAUCUAUUACAUUCAUUCAGCCUUUAUAAUACAAUUUAUUAUACAUUAAGCUUCUAAACAUAAUAUAAAGCUUACAUCUUCCAAAAUAUAAACAUUAGCUUACAUUCAUUCCAGAAUAUCUCACAUCCUAUACAUCAUCUACUCUCAAUGCAUAUAAAGGUGACUCUAAUGCAGAAAUAGGAAAGUAAACUAAUGCAACUAGGGCCCUAGGCCCUUACCGCGAUCCUCGCCGUGUGAACUCGCGCUCGGCCCUGUAGUAAAAUGGGGGUGAGAACUAACUUCCUUAGUUCCCAGUGGGUUCGGCCGCCGACUCCGCCGAUCUCCCCACUAGGUCCAAGUGGGCACAAGUAGAUAACCAGAUAGAUAGAUAAGUAAUAAGCAAAGCGGUAAAGACAGGAUAGUAAAACUACACUACUAUGCCCGAAUCAUAAACAUAUGGAUGCAUGUACAAUGAAAUGGUAACAACUAACCCGUCAACAUGUCCAAAAAGUAAAGCUAUGCACUUAUUCAUCAAUCUCAUUUACUUGUUUCUUAAUCUCGUGGCUUCUCUGAAAGCUCGCCUACUGUUCACUAGCCAUCUCGAAGGUAGGGAGGGUCAACUCGCACUACGAACCGAGAACGUCUGCCGGGACCCAAAAUAGGCAAUCCCUUGGGACCCAAAAUAGGCAAUCCCACGUGACCAACUCCGGAGCGCACUACUUGUGUGGGGCUUCCAUCACAAGAUUUAAAAACAGACCGUGAGCAUGAUCCAAUUCUCUCCACUCUAGGGUACCCUAUCCUCUAGGGUUACUACCAUCAUGUAGUCCAUAGGCGUCGUAUACACCAAGUUUAACAUGCAUCACUUGUUUUCUUAUACACCAUCAACUAGAUUGCCACUCGUCCAUGGUUUACUAUCGACUAGAUGCCACUCGUUCUUUGUUUAUCAUUAGACCAACCAUUGAGCCCAUCUCUUUCUCUGCACUAUAGGAUUCACAAGUCUCGACCCAAUCCUUAUCGAUCCACUAUGUCAAGUAUCCAAUACAUGCUACGAUAUCAUCAAGGAAAGUAUAAGGAAAGGCAAUGCACAAUCAUCCUAUAAUGCAAUAAUACAAGAUGCAGAAUCGAAAUGUACUAAGACAUAGAAGGGAGCCCGAUUGCUUCGGGAUGGACACCACCUACCUUUUAUAGCGUUCCGAUUGCUCGUCGUCACUCGCAAUCGGCCUCCUGCAGCGCACACCGCACGGCUCGACCCAACUCACGCGCGACUGCCAAAUGACCUCCUAUCCGCGAUCUGGAAAUUAAAGGUCUUCGGUUCCUUGUCACGAUGCUCGAAAUCCGAUUCCGCGAUUUAUGGAAGCCGCCUCGGCCCUCCAGGCGGAAACGAAGCCUAACGUCCGUUUCUUUAAUAACUUCGCACCGGCUAGACGAAUCGCCGAAUCGUCGCUUCCAACGCGUUCAGUGACCUAUCAAUUAGGUUUACAGAGAGUCAAAUGAGAUCAAACCCUUAUAUUUUCAAAAAUUGCAUUUUGAGCCCUAGGUUUAUAACUAGGCAAGAAUUAACUAAAUUGAUCCUAGAUUCUAGCAAUAAUCAUCUAUUUAGCAUGCUAGAAUAGCUCUAAAUCCAUUCUUGAAGCUUAAAACCCAAACUACAAAGAGAUACUAUUAAAGGGUUUUGAAGCUUACCUUCAAACCUUGCUCUAAUGGAGAGGAAGAAGAUAGAGAAGAUGGAAAUCCACCUUUGAGCUUCGAUCUCCACCAAAAUCAUCUCUUUUUGGGAGAGAUUUAGAGAGAGGAAGGAGAGUUUCUCUCUCUCCCUUCCAUGCGUGUGUGAGUGUGUGUCGCAUGUGUGUGUGCUGCGGUUGAGGGAGGAAGGAGAAGAAGGGAUUAAUCCCUUUUUACAAGUUAGUCCCUCAACUUUACACUAUUCACAUCAGUUAGCAGUUCGGAACAGUUGGAGCCCUUCUGAAUGUCCGUUUGAGCUCAAAUUUGACAGACAUGCUCAGUUUAACGUACUGAGUAAGAAUAUAUCUUAAGUUUUCAGUUUCGACCUCGUUUGGUCACCGAAAACUGUGCCGAACUGUAAUCUUUAGCAGAUAACUCUCGGAUUUUAUUUCUCACUCUACGGGUGUCAGAAAAAUAUGAAACCUUAAAUCUAGCCUCAUAAAAAUAUUUCUGACAUAUCCUCCAAUUUUUAUAAUUUUCUGAGAGUGCAUUUUCUGCUAAUUUUUCUAUCCCGUUUCCAACAAAAAAUUUCAAAUCUUCUGUUUUUAUCCCGAUUUCAGCACAAGUCACUUCUGACUUAUGUUUUACUUCUCUAAAUCCAAUAAAAUAGUAUCUCAUACUAUUUUUUCUUUUUAUAUUUAAAUCCGGUAUAUUACAUUACACCGCAACCUUAUCGGAACCAUUCAAAUAGCUCUCCAACCAAAUGGACACCGUAACCUCAUGAUUUUAGAAGUUCGGUACCUUACAGCGACCGUUGCGGAUUCUUGCUUGGGAGAUGAAAGAAUUGCGCAAUCGGGUCAUCCCGUAUGUAAAAGUGCAGUGGAGUAAUCACGAGGAGCGGGAAGCGACUUGGGAGCUAGAGACGGUGAUGAGGGAGUCCUAUCCCUACUUGUUUGAUGCUCAGGGUUGAGGUACGUAUUAAGUUUCGAGUACGAAACUUUUUGUAGUGAGGGAGGGUGUGGUAUCCCUAGUGUACAGCAGUAGAGGCUUGUCGACAGCUCUGGAGAGUGUCGGGAUAAGUCCGAGUUGUGUUGGUGCGAAAUAGACGCAAAACAGAUUCAGCAGGGACGCGAGAGCAGGAUUUAGCUUUGAAAAUCUGCAAAUUGCAGAUUUUCUACUUGUUGUACUAGUACAACCACCAAGGCGUACCGGUACACUUUCUGUACCGGUACAACCAGCAGGGCGUACCGGUACACUUCGCCAGAUUUUUGCGCAGCUGCUCUCGGGUUGCCAUUUGUACCGGUAUAACUACCCGUGUACCGAUACACCAGGGUAGGUGAGGGGCAAAUUGGUCUUUGCCAUGCCUCGUACGUGUCACCCCUCUCCCCUAGCUAUAUACAGGUGUUGUCACGCCCCGAGCCCGCCUAUUUGGUCGGUUUCGGGCAUGCCAACAGACCGCCGAACCGACAGGGUUUUCCCUGUACCGCGGACAGAGUCUCCCCUGUACAUUCAAGGCGUCGCAAUCAAUACAAUAUACGAUGUUCCAACCAAGAACACAUUUCAACCAAAGAUUGCAUAAGGAAGUAUCAAAAACAUAAUUCUACUUGCUAUUACAAGCAUUCAUCUCACAUAUUACAUUUUACAUUACAAAUUACAUUCUUUUACAUUCAACUUCCAAAUACAAUCUAGUUAUUACAAAUUUACUACAAGUUGAUACAUCUUGUUCUUUCAUUUUCCUCUACCCCUAGGCUAUGCCGACUCGGGGUACUACUAUCUCUGGUCUCUGGGCAAGGCGCUAUCUAUGGAGCUACGCCCAUUCCUCGCGCCGCCGCGCCGCUCAUGUGUGAACCUGUAACACCCCAAAACAACGUUGGGUGAGAACCAACUCCAUGGUUCUCAGUGGGUACGGCCACCCAAGAGAAGAGCUCGACCAUUAGGCCCAAAGGAGGCAAACAACAUGUUAGUCCAAUAGAUAGAUAUAAAAUCAUAAAUCAUGCAACUAACAUUACUAUGCUUUUGCCUCACAACAUGCAAUAUGUAAAUUAUGCAACUCAUAUAAGUAGAUUAAUCGUUUCUACACUUUAUUCUUAUCCAUUCUUUACUCUUAGUCAUUCUUUACUUUACUAGCUAUUCUUUAACAUUUGCCUUUCUUUAUUCUUUAUUACUUGCCAAUCUUUAGCAUUAGCCCUUAUUUAUUCUUUAUUCUUUAUUCUAAGGGUACUCACACCUCAACCAUGUUAUACACAUUGCCAUUCUUUCCUAAGGUUACUUUACAUUAGUCCAACUAUGC